AACGAACGCUGGCGGCAUGCCUAACACAUGCAAGUCGAACGAGACCUUCGGGUCUAGUGGCGCACGGGUGCGUAACGCGUGGGAAUCUGCCCUUCGGUUCGGAACAACAGUUAGAAAUGACUGCUAAUACCGGAUAAUGACGUAAGUCCAAAGAUUUAUCGCCGAAGGAUGAGCCCGCGUAAGAUUAGGUAGUUGGUGGGGUAAUGGCCUACCAAGCCGACGAUCUUUAGCUGGUCUGAGAGGAUGAUCAGCCACACUGGGACUGAGACACGGCCCAGACUCCUACGGGAGGCAGCAGUGGGGAAUAUUGGACAAUGGGCGAAAGCCUGAUCCAGCAAUGCCGACGUGAGUGAUGAAGGCCUUAGGGUUGUAAAGCUCUUUUACCAGGGAUGAUAAUGACAGUACCUGGAGAAUAAGCUCCGGCUAACUCCGUG
rnacentral:rRNA from 1 species